AUACGUAGGUGACAAGCGUUAUCCGGAUUUACUGGGUGUAAAGGGCGUGUAGGCGGUUUGGCAAGUCAGAAGUGAAAUUCCCGGGCUUAACUUGGGCGCUGCUUCUGAAACUGCUUAACUUGAGUGCUGGAGAGGAUAGUGGAAUUCCUAGUGUAGCGGUAAAAUGCGCAGAUAUUAGGAGGAACACCGGUGGCGAAGGCGGCUAUCUGGACAGUAACUGACGCUGAGGCGCGAAAGCGCGGGGAGCAAACAGGAUUAGAUACCCUGGUAGUCCGUGCCGUAAACGAUGAAUACUAGGUGUAGGGGGUAUCGACUCCCUCUGUGCCGCAGUUAACACAUUAAGUAUUCCACCUGGGGAGUACGGCCGCAAGGUUGAAACUCAAAGGAAUUGACGGGG
rnacentral:rRNA from 1 species